rnacentral:rRNA from 1 species
UACGAAGGGGGCUAGCGUUGUUCGGAAUUACUGGGCGUAAAGGGCGCGUAGGCGGCCUUGUCAGUCAGGCGUGAAAGCCCCGGGCUCAACCUGGGAACGGCGCGCGAGACGGGGGGGCUGGAGUUCGGGAGAGGAGCGUGGAAUUCCCAGUGUAGAGGUGAAAUUCGUAGAUAUUGGGAAGAACACCGGUGGCGAAGGCGGCGCUCUGGACCGAGACUGACGCUGAGGCGCGAAAGCGUGGGGAGCAAACAGG